UGCUCCCUGCGCUUGGACAACUGGGCAGAGGACACAAACAGCACCAUGGACAGCUCCCUAUCUGCUCUCAGCAGCAGGAUCAGCACCUUGGACAGCUCCGUGCUGCUCAGUAAUGGCAGACACACACAGACUGACUCCAUGUGCACACUUCACUUUAAAAGUCUCUCUGUGCACAAGAAAAACCUGCUCUAAUGAGUCGCCGCGACCACACGAGCGGAGGUAAAGGGCCAUGAAAUGGAGCCAUUAGGCUGGAGGUAAAGUGAGCCGAGGACAUGAUGAGAGGAGGACAUUAGACUGUAACACACACACAUCCAGAUCGACUCUACGGUCUGAUGUUUACAGGGGUGACACUCACGGCACGGUCAGCCUGUGAGGAAGAAGCUGCAGGAUGUUUACCCACCCGGACGUGCUCUGGUCCUUCUCAGCUACGUCACAUGUCGGCUCUGGAUGCAUGAUCAUGACAUGUUCAUGCAUUCACCUCAGGAUGAAUUUGAAGAACAUUCAUGUGGAGCUUUUUGUCUCUGCUGUGCAUGUCUGCUGCAAGAAAACCAAGCUAAGAGGAACCAAGAGGAACUUAGAGGACACCUCCUCGAACUUAUGUGACUUGCAUCAAGAUAUUUGUGUAGACUGAAUGUUAAAUAAAGAUUUCCUUAUGUUGAAA